rnacentral:rRNA from 1 species
GAUGAACGCUGGCGGCGUGCCUAAUACAUGCAAGUCGAGCGAACAGACGAGGAGCUUGCUCCUCUGACGUUAGCGGCGGACGGGUGAGUAACACGUGGAUAACCUACCUAUAAGACUGGGAUAACUUCGGGAAACCGGAGCUAAUACCGGAUAAUAUAUUGAACCGCAUGGUUCAAUAGUGAAAGACGGUUUUGCUGUCACUUAUAGAUGGAUCCGCGCCGCAUUAGCUAGUUGGUAAGGUAACGGCUUACCAAGGCAACGAUGCGUAGCCGACCUGAGAGGAUGAUCGGCAACACUGGAACUGAGACACGGUCCAGACUCCUACGGGAGGCAGCAGUAGGGAAUCUUCCGCAAUGGGCGAAAGCCUGACGGAGCAACGCCGCGUGAGUGAUGAAGGUCUUCGGAUCGUAAAACUCUGUUAUUAGGGAAGAACAAAUGUGUAAGUAACUAUGCACGUCUUGACGGUACCUAAUCAGAAAGCCACGGCUAACUACGUG